CUGCAACAAACAUCAUGACC
rnacentral:misc_RNA from 1 species